GACCUCGAAUCAGGUAGG
rnacentral:rRNA from 4 species